rnacentral:hammerhead_ribozyme from 1 species
AUCCAUUUGACGAAUCUCAAAUAGGACGAAAUGCGCGUUAAACUGGAU